AUGGCGUCGCGGCAGGCCGCCGGCCUCACCGACUACGAGCGCCUCCGCGAGGAGAACAUCCGCCGCAACGAGGCCAUCCUCGCCUCCCUCCGCCGCAAGGCCGACGAGCUCUCGGCCGCCAUCAAGUCCUCGUCUAAACGAGGACGAGGACGCCCCAGCAAUCAGCCCCGCAAGAAGCCCGCCGCCAAGACAAGCCCCGGCGAGCUCCGCCGCUCCCUCCGACUCUCUCAGCUCCCCCCCUCCCACUCCCCGGACGCCGAGCCCACGCCCGGGCCCCCUCCGGUGCCGCGCAGCACCAGCUUCUCCUCCUCGCUCGCGUCCUCCAUCAUCGAGUCCGCCUCGCUUGCGCCGCCUGCCAGGGUUCGGGCGGACGAUUUCGAUGCCGGGAAGGAGCUCGUGCUGACGCCUGCCAACGUUCGGAAGGUGGUGCCCGACAGGAUACUUGGGGUUCGGGUCCUGCCGCUGGUCGACCGGACCGUGGUUGCGGCGGGGAACAAGUUGGGGAAUGUUGGGUUCUGGGUUGUGGACGGCAUGGUGGAAGAUGAGGAUGGCGACGGUGCGGAUGGGGUGUUCGAGUAUUUGCCUCACAGGGGCCCUGUGCCAGCAAUCGUGGCGCACCCUGCCGCGCCACAGAAGAUUUACAGCUGUAGUUAUGAGGGUGAAAUUUGUCUUAUGGACCUUGAGAAGGAGAGCUUUAAUAUGAUCCAGCUGUGUGACUAUCCUGUUUAUUCACUUUGUCAAGCACCAGAUAGUCCUAGCUGCCUAUAUUUUGGUGAUGGAAAUGGUGAACUGAAACUUCUUGAUGAGCGGAUGGGUAAGGUAUCAACCACAUGGGAUUCACAUGACAAUACAAUUAACUCAAUAGAUUUUCAUCCAGAGAAAAAACAUAUGCUUGCCACAAGUUCAACAGAUCGAACAGCACGCAUAUGGGAUCUCAGAAGGCUUAAAAGGAAGAAAGAAGAGAGCUUGAAGGUUCUAAAACAUAAUAGAUCUGUUCAGUCAGCUUAUUUCUCACCUAGUGGCAGUAUGCUAGCAACAACAAGCCUCGACGAUACUGUCCGAGUCUUUUGUGGGGAUGACUUUGAUAGGUCACACAUUAUCAAGCAUAAUAACCAGACAGGCAGAUGGAUUUCUACAUUCAAGGCAAUCUGGGGCUGGAACGACACCGACCUGUUUAUCGGGAACAUGAAAAGGGCACUAGAUAUUAUCUCAGUUGGUGGCGAUGACAGUAGCCUCUCAGCUUCGAACGGCGCAAGCCUGGAGAGUGAACACAUGACGGCCAUUCCGUGCAGGUUUUCGGCACACCCAUAUAAAGUUGGGCAUCUUGCUUGCGCAAGCUCCGGCGGCAAGGUGUUCUUUUGGACCAGAGCUUGA
rnacentral:rRNA from 1 species